rnacentral:rRNA from 1 species
GGCGGAGUGGCGGACGGGUGAGGAGCGCGUAAGGACCUGCCCCUGGGAGGGGGAUAACAGCUGGAAACGGCUGCUAAUACCCCAUAGCCUGAGGAGGGAAAGGAGAGAUCCGCCCAGGGAGGGGCUUGCGUCUGAUUAGCUGGUUGGGGGGGGUAAUGGCCUCCCAAGGCAACGAUCAGUAGCUGGUCUGAGAGGAUGAUCAGCCACACUGGGACUGAAACACGGCCCAAACUCCUACGGGAGGCAGCAGUGAGGAAUCUUCCGCAAUGGGCGAAAGCCUGACGGGGCAAUGCCGCGUGGAGGAUGAAGGCCCAAUGGGUCGUAAACUCCUUUAAAUCAAAGACAAAAAGAUGACGGUACCUGAAAAACUAAGCAUCGGCUAAACCCCGUGCCAGCAGCCGCGGUAAGACGGGGGAUAUGAGCGUUAUCCGGAAUGAUUGGGCGUAAAGGGUCCGCAGGUGGCCCGGUCAGUCCGCUGUCAAAGCCUGGGGCUCAACCCUGGAGAGGCGGCGGA